rnacentral:rRNA from 1 species
UGGGGAAUAUUGCACAAUGGGCGGAAGCCUGAUGCAGCGACGCCGCGUGAGGGAUGACGGCCUUCGGGUUGUAAACCUCUUUCAGUAGGGACGAAGCGUAAGUGACGGUACCUGCAGAAUAAGCACCGGCUAACUCUGUGCCAGCAGCCGCGGUAAUACAGAGGGUGCGAGCGUUAAUCGGAUUUACUGGGCGUAAAGCGUGCGUAGGCGGCUUCUUAAGUCGGAUGUGAAAUCCCUGAGCUUAACUUAGGAAUUGCAUUCGAUACUGGGAAGCUAGAGUAUGGGAGAGGAUGGUAGAAUUCCAGGUGUAGCGGUGAAAUGCGUAGAGAUCUGGAGGAAUACCGAUGGCGAAGGCAGCCAUCUGGCCUAAUACUGACGCUGAGGUACGAAAGCAUGGGGAGCAAACAGG